UUCUAAAUGACUUGAAGCUCUGUCACGGCAUAAUCUCUUAUAAAUAAAUGUCAGUGUAGUCACUGAAUGCAGACUGGAUUUUUGCCUGACUACGGUGCUCAGCCUUCUAGACAAUAGUUAUGCUAAGGGAUUAUCUUUUAACAUUGUGCAGUUAUCUCCUUUGUUUGUUUUCUUUUUUCAUUAUUCACAUAAGCCAAGGGAAAUGAAAAGCAUCUUAUUUCAGGCAAAAAGGCCUGUGAAUGAUUAACUCUGGUUCCAUGCGUUGGGACUUUGCAUAGCAACCCCGUGGCUUGCAACGACAAAAAAGCUCAAGGCAGGAACAGCAGCCCAGGGACCUGAGACCAGCGUUCUCAAAUGAAGGUGAUCUGCUGUUAGAGGAGAAUUCUUCUGUCCUAGCUGUGUCUCUGUGAUCUGUGGAUGAGGGUGGGAAAGCACCACUCAGUCAAUUGGGGUGUACAAAAUGGAGUUUGAGAAGGUCUCACAUCCAGGUUGUUUUGAAGCAAAGUCCAAGCAUUGUAUCACUUCAUCUGCAAAUAUUUCAAUAAGUACCCAAAAGCCUGCCGAGUGCCUGGGAUUGCAGGCACACGCCGCCACGCCUGACUGGUUUUCGUAUUUUUUGGUGGAGACGGGGUUUCGCAGUGUUGGCCGGGCUGGUCUCCAGCUCCUGACCUCGAGUGAUCUGCCCGCCUCGGCCUCCCGAGGUGCCGGGAUUGCAGACGGAGUCUCGCUCACUCAGUGCUCAAUGUUGCCCAGGCUGGAGUGCAGUGGCGUGAUCUCGGCUUGCUACAACCCCCACCUCCCAGCCGCCUGCCUUGGCCUCCCAAAGUGCUGAGAUCGCAGCCUCUGCCCGGCCGCCACCCCGUCUAGGAAGUGAGGAGUGCCUCUUCCUGGCUGCCACCCCAUCUAGGAAGUGAGGAGCGUCUCUGCCUGGCAGCCCAUCCUCUGGGAUGUGAGGAGCCCCUCUGCCCGGCUGCCCAGUCUGGGAAGUGAGAAGCGCCUCUUCCCGGCCCUCAUCCUGUCUAGGAAGUGAGGAGCGUCUCUGCCUGGCCGCCCAUCGUCUGGGAUGUGGGAAGCGCCUCUGCCCGGCCGCCCCGUCUGGGAGGUGAGGAGCAUCUCUACCCGGCCGCCACCCCGUCUGGGAGGUGAGGAGCGCCUCUGCCCAGCCACGACCCCGUCUGGGAAGUGAGGAGCGCCUCUGCCCGGCCGCCCCGUCUGGGUAGUGAGGAGCGUCUCCACCCGGCUGCCCCAUCUGGGAGGCGGGGAGCGCCCCUGCCUGGCAGCUGCCCCAUCUGGGAGGCGGGGGGUGCCCCCACCCGGCUGCCACGUCUGGGAAGUGAGGAGCCCCUCUGCCCGGCCGCCACCCCCUCUGGGAGGUGUACCCCACAACUCAUUGAGAACGGGCCAUGAUGACGAUGGCGGUUUUGUCAAAUAGAAAAGGGGGAAAUGUGGGGAAAAGAAAGAGAGAUCAGAUUGUUACUGUGUCUGUGUAGAAAGAAGUAGACAUAGGAGACUCCAUUUUGUUCUGUACUAAGAAAAAUUCUUCUGCCUUGGGAUGCUGUUAAUCUAUAACCUUACCCCCAACCCUGUGCUCUCUGAAACAUGUGCUGUGUCAAGUCAGGGUUAAAUGGAUUAAGGGUGGUGCAAGAUGUGCUUUGUUAAACAGAUGCUUGAAGGCAGCAUGCUCUUUAAGAGUCAUCACCACUCCCUAAUCUCAAGUACCGAGGGACACAAACACUGUGGAAGGCUUACAGGGUCCUCUGCUUAGGAAAACCAGAGACCUUUGUUCACGUGUUUAUCUGCUGACCUUCUCUCCACUAUUGUCCUAUGACCCUGCCAAAUCCCCCUCUCUGAGAAACAGCCAAGAAUGAUCAAUAAAUACUAAAAAAAUUAAAAAAAAA
rnacentral:lncRNA from 1 species